rnacentral:tRNA from 1 species
GUCGGGGAAAUGGUGUAUUAGCACCUGCUUUGGGAGCAGGGGGUCGGAGGUUCGAAUCCUCUCACUCCGACA